GACGAACGCUGGCGGCGUGCUUAACACAUGCAAGUCGAACGGAAAGGCCCUGCUUUUGUGGGGUGCUCGAGUGGCGAACGGGUGAGUAACACGUGAGUAACCUGCCCUUGACUUUGGGAUAACUUCAGGAAACUGGGGCUAAUACCGGAUAGGAGCUCCUGCUGCAUGGUGGGGGUUGGAAAGUUUCGGCGGUUGGGGAUGGACUCGCGGCUUAUCAGCUUGUUGGUGGGGUAGUGGCUUACCAAGGCUUUGACGGGUAGCCGGCCUGAGAGGGUGACCGGCCACAUUGGGACUGAGAUACGGCCCAGACUCCUACGGGAGGCAGCAGUGGGGAAUAUUGCACAUUGGGCGGAAGCCUGAUGCAGCAACGCCGCGUGCGGGAUGACGGCCUUUGGGUUGUAAACCGCUUUCGCCUGUGACGAAGCGUGAGUGACGGUAAUGGGUAAAGAAGCACCGGCUAACUACGUG
rnacentral:rRNA from 1 species